GACGAACGCUGGCGGCGUGCUUAACACAUGCAAGUCGAACGGAAAGGCCCUGCUUUUGUGGGGUGCUCGAGUGGCGAACGGGUGAGUAACACGUGAGUAACCUGCCCUUGACUUUGGGAUAACUUCAGGAAACUGGGGCUAAUACCGGAUAGGAGCUCCUGCUGCAUGGUGGGGGUUGGAAAGUUUCGGCGGUUGGGGUUGGACUCGCGGCUUAUCAGCUUGUUGGUGGGGUAGUGGCGUACCAAGGCGUUGACGGGUAGCCGGCCUGAGAGGGUGACCGGCCACAUUGGGACUGGGGUACGGCCCGGACUCCUACGUGAGGCAGCAGUGGGGAAUAUUGCACAAUGGGCGGAAGCCGUAUGCAGCGACGCCGCGUGCGGGAGGACGGCUUUCGGGUUGUAAACCGCUUGCGCCUGUGACGAAGCGUGAGUGACGGUAUUGGGUAAAGAAGCACCGGCUAACUACGUG
rnacentral:rRNA from 1 species